AAUCAGCGCCCUCAGCCAAUCAGCACCGAGCAUCAGGGACUCGGGGGCGGGGCCGACAGUCGGCGCCAUUUUUCCUUUUUGCCUCUCACUCCCGUCAUGCCCCGCGCUCCACAGAACCCCGGGAUCGCCCCCAUCUGUCCCAUCCAAAAAGCGUCGGAUUCUUUCCCACCUGCGUUGUUCUGCGUCCGGAUUUAAUGGAGUUCCUGUCAGCAGCCAAUCCAGAAUGCCUGUUUUCUCUAAUGGAUUAAAGUUAGUUGCAAUCAUAAAGCACAAACUCU
rnacentral:lncRNA from 1 species